AACGAACGCUGGCGGCGGGCUUAACACAUGCAAGUCGAGCGCCCCGCAAGGGGAGCGGCAGACGGGUGAGUAACGCGUGGGAAUCUACCCAUCCCUACGGAAUAGCUCCGGGAAACUGGAAUUAAUACCGUAUACGCCCUACGGGGGAAAGAUUUAUCGGGGAUGGAUGAGCCCGCGUUGGAUUAGCUAGUUGGUGGGGUAAAGGCCUACCAAGGCGACGAUCCAUAGCUGGUCUGAGAGGAUGAUCAGCCACAUUGGGACUGAGACACGGCCCAAACUCCUACGGGAGGCAGCAGUGGGGAAUAUUGGACAAGGGGGGCAACCCUGAUCCAGCCAUGCCGCGUGAGUGAUGAAGGCCUUAGGGUUGUAAGGCUCUUUCACCGGGGAAGAUAAUGACGGUACCCGGAGAAGAAGCCCCGGCUAACUUCGUGCCAGCCGCCGCCGUAAGAC
rnacentral:rRNA from 1 species